rnacentral:rRNA from 1 species
CGCUGUAUACGGACUGACGCCUGCCCGGUGCUGGAAGGUUAAGAGGACGGGUCAGCUCUUCGGAGCGAAGCUCAGAAUUUAAGCCCCAGUAAACGGCGGUGGUAACUAUAACCAUCCUAAGGUAGCGAAAUUCCUUGUCGGGUAAUUUCCGACCUGCACGAAUGGCGUAACGACUUCUCCACUGUCUCAACCGCGAACUCGGCGAAAUUGCAUUACGAGUAAAGAUGCUCGUUACGCGCAGCAGGACGGAAAGACCCCGGGACCUUUACUAUAGUUUGGUAUUGGUGUUCGGGACGGCUUGUGUAGGAUAGGUGGGAGACUGGGAAGCAUUCACG